AACCAUCCUAAUCAGAUGGAAGUGCCAAGAGAAAAUGUUGCUCUUUGGAAGGAAAGAAAGAAACCAUGUUAAGGAGGGGUGUUAUGCAAUGAAUUUUUAGAUAUUAAAAAAAAUAACAUCUAGACCAUUAAGUUUCUUUGGUUUUGUAGAUAAGUUUGUCAGAUAAGAGUUAGAAUACUCCAACAAUCACUGGACAUUUCUAUAGUAACCUGAGGUAGAAUUUCAAACUUCCAGAGAGAAAGGAAGAGUAACAGCAGCCCAUUUAGACUCAGUGUCCAUCUCUCCUACCUGUGCUUGCCUUCCAGUACCUUUCAUACCUUCUAAAAUGGCCUCUCACUCAUCAGGAGAGUUUGAGGGGUCACGGUUUUUUAGAUCAAACUCUGAAGAUAAAGAAGGAUGGGAACUUAUACUUUUAGGAAUGCUGUCAUUAGAAAAAAGACAGUGUUUCUCUGCUGGCCCAGUGUGUGAACCCUGGGUUGGUGCCCUGUUCCAGAUGGGAAGGCACGAUCAGAAAGGUUUGCCUCAGGACUCACUUUGCCACGAAUCGAGUCUCUGCGCCUCAUGGUGACAAGUUGUUUUCUCUCCUCUUGUACUACAUUCUGUCCUUGAUGGGAUAUAGAUAUUUUAAACCCAUGUCAGUGAGACAAGUCCCUCCUUUGAGGAGUGUAAAUCUAAAUGGAUCCACCGUCUGCUCCAGUGCUGGGGCACUGCGUGUGGAAAACCACUGAACUUUCUCUCAGCAGCUGUAACUUGGGGUGUACUGCAGGCAACUUCUUGUUCUACCUCGUGUACACUUGCUUUACUUGAGAUACUAGCUAUGUAAGAAUCAUUCUAAACAGUAUUUAAUGAUAUAAGAGUUGCUUACAAAAAAACUUGACUUGAUAGACGGCUAAAACCUUUAUAUUUUAUUCUUAAUUAAAGAAAUGAUGAAAUGAAAGGAGAUCUACUUAAUAGUAGGAAGUGUACCAGAUUUCAUUUGGCCUUGUUCUAGAGUAGUAUUUUAUAAACUUU
rnacentral:lncRNA from 1 species